rnacentral:rRNA from 1 species
UACGUAGGGACCAAGCGUUGUUCGGAUUUACUGGGCGUAAAGAGCGCGUAGGCGGUCCGUUAAGUGUAGAGUGAAAGCUCCGGGCUCAACUCGGAAAUUGCUCUGCAUACUGGCGGACUCGAGGAUGGCAGAGGUUUGUGGAAUUCCUGGUGUAGCGGUGAAAUGCGUAGAUAUCAGGAGGAACACCCAUGGCGAAGGCAGCAAACUGGGCCAUAUCUGACGCUGAGGCGCGAAAGCGUGGGUAGCAAACAGG